CUAUCGCGCACAAACAGCGAAUUGGAUGCUUUGCUAAGCGCAUAUACUGCUGUUGGAGCUUGAAAACUGACCUUGUUGGAUGUGUUUGUACAAACCCAACUACCCAAUAACACUCCACCAAUAAGCACAAAAAGACAAUGAACAAAUAAUGUGGGGAAUCUCAUGUGAAUAGUGUUAACAACUUAACAAGUGUCUCAAGAGAAAUAAAUAAAUAAAUAAAUUGUAUGGUAGAUAUUACUAACCUCCUCUGUGUUCGAAUUGACUUUCAAACUUGUAAAACUUCUAAAUUAAUAAAAAUUCGAGUUAUUCAUGUUUACUGUAAAAAAAUCCAUAUGAGAAAUGUCCGAUCAUGAAUCUCUCGGCUUUGAAGAUAUAAUGUUUUUCUCCAAGCUAAUAUUGGUUAUUCGUGAGAAUGAGAAAGAAAACUUAGGCUAAUGAGUGUAUCAUAGACAUCUAAACUUUUUUUUAUGCAAAUCUACGUCUUACUUUUACAAUUUGCAAUAUACGUGUCUAAACUUCUUUUUCUGACAAAAUACAUGUCUAAACAUGAUAUCCAAAUAUCUUGUGCGGAUAAAAUUGUGAACG
rnacentral:lncRNA from 1 species